GGAGGGAUGGCCGAGUGGUUUAAGGCGGCGGUCUUGAAAACCGUUGUAGGUCUACGACUUACCGGGGGUUCGAAUCCCUCUCCCUCCG
rnacentral:tRNA from 1 species